rnacentral:lncRNA from 1 species
CGCUUGCUCUCUCGCCACCUCCUCUGUAGACCACCAUAAAAUUGAAGUAGGUCGAGACAUCGAAAGCACAAAAAGAACAAUAAGGCAUCAUAAGCCCCAACCGCUGGAGAUGAUGGCAACACUGUAAUCGAGGAUGGGUGUUUUUAAAAAAACCUUGAAAGCACUUCUUGAUUUCUUUCAAAUCGCAUAUAAAUCCCUCUUCAUUUAUGUAACCCGCUAUUGAAUUGGAAAUCUUAGCAGAUUGGAACUGAAAGAAAAGAAAACCCAUAAGAAAUUGGGAGAUGGAGCAAAAGGGACAUCAUGAGCAAGAUUAAACGACAGUGAAAUGCCUAAGCAAGAGUACAUGGGGUCUGAUUUUGAUUCUGAAGCUAGGGCUGAACUCG